GUAGUACUCCGUCUAUCCCAAAAUUCUUGUCUUACAUUUGUUUAGAUACGGAUGUAUCUAACACUAAAAUGUAACUAGAUACAUCCGUAUUUAGAAAAAUUGAAGACAAGAAUUUUGGGACGGAGGGAGUAAAAA
rfam:Triticum aestivum genome assembly, contig: Triticum_aestivum_CS42_TGACv1_scaffold_030469_1BL